rnacentral:rRNA from 1 species
UACGUAGGGGGCAAGCGUUGUCCGGAAUCAUUGGGCGUAAAGAGCGUGUAGGCGGCCAGAUAAGUCCGCUGUGAAAUCUCGAGGCUCAACUUCGAGCUGUCGGUGGAAACUGUCUGGCUAGAGUCCGGAAGAGGCGAGUGGAAUUCCCGGUGUAGCGGUGAAAUGCGCAGAUAUCGGGAGGAACACCAAUGGCGAAGGCAGCUCGCUGGGACGUGACUGACGCUGAGACGCGAAAGCGUGGGGAGCAAACAGG